AGCAGCCGCGGUAAUUCCAGCUCCAAUAGCGUAUAUUAAAGUUGUUGCAGUUAAAAAGCUCGUAGUUGAAUUUCGGGAUCAAGUCGUCGGUCGUGCUCAGGUACGUACUGGCGUCAUUGAUUUCUCCCUUCUGACGAACCAUGAUGUCAUUAACUUGGUGUCAUGGGAAAUCAGGACUGUUACUUUGAAAAAAUUAGAGUGUUUAAAGCAGGCUCACGCUUGAGUACAUUAGCAUGGAAUAAUGAAACAGGACGUUCGAUCCUAUUUUGUUGGUUUUAGGAUCAACGUAAUGAUUAAUAGGGAUAGUUAGGGCAUUAGUAUUCAAUUGUCAGAGGUGAAAUUCUUGGAUUUAUUGAAGACUAACUACUGCGAAAGCAUUUGCCAAGGAUGUUUUCAUUAAUCAAGAACGAAAGUUAGGGGAUCGAAGACGAUCAGAUACCGUCGUAGUCUUAACCAUAAACUAUGCCGACUAGGGAUCGGAUGAUGUUAAUUUUUAAUGA
rnacentral:rRNA from 1 species